rnacentral:tRNA from 1 species
CGCUCUUAGUUCAGUUCGGUAGAACGUAGGUCUCCAAAACCUAAUGUCGUAGGUUCAAGUCCUACAGAGCGUG